rnacentral:rRNA from 1 species
CCUACGGGGGGCAGCAGUAGGGGAUAUUGCUCAAUGGGGGAAACCCUGAAGCAGCAACGCCGCGUGGAGGAUGGAGGUUUUAGGAGUGUAAACCCCUUUUGGUAGAGAAGAGGAUGACGGUAACUAAAGAAUAAGGACCGGGUCACGCCGUGCCAGCAGCCGCGGGAAUACGGAGGGGGCAAGCGUUACUCGGAAUAACUGGGCGGAAAGAGUGCGUAGGCGGGGUCAUAAGUCAGAUGUGCAAUCCUGUAGCUUAACUACAGAACUGCAUUUGAAACUGUUACUCUGGAGUGUGGGAGAGGUAGGUGGAAUUCUUGGUGUAGCGGUUAACUCCGUA